AUGGUUUUUUUUAAAUUAUUUGAUGCCGUGGGAUUGGGAUUUUUAGCUUUAAUGUAAACCAUGUCCGGUUUUUAACUUGUAUUUACAGCAAAGAUAGCCAGUUUUGUGUUCUGUAAUAUACUGUAACAGUUUAAUUUUACAUGUCCGGUAGCAUCGUUACUUCUCAAAACAUCUUCCGAACAAUAUCUGGACAUCGGUGUCGUGGGCAUGUACAAUUGCCAAACCACACAUGAACGUUCUUUAGUCUUCGUAGAUCUAUUCCAACUUGAAGUCUUUUUGAGUCUACGACAAGCAGAACAUGAUAUUUUAUACCAUUGAAUAUUGAAGCCAUAGUCAUGAAGAUCGAUUACUUGAUUGGUGUUCCGUUAACGUAGCCGCAGAACAAAAACGCGAGAGCUACUUUUGAAUAUUUCUACAAUUUUAAGUAGUUUUCCACUCACAAAC
rnacentral:lncRNA from 1 species